AUUGAACGCUGGCGGCAUGCCUUACACAUGCAAGUCGAACGGCAGCAUGGAGAGCUUGCUCUCUGAUGGCGAGUGGCGAACGGGUGAGUAAUGCAUCGGAACGUACCGUGUAAUGGGGGAUAACGUAGCGAAAGUUACGCUAAUACCGCAUACGACCUGAGGGUGAAAGCAGGGGAUCGCAAGACCUUGCGUUAUACGAGCGGCCGAUGUCAGAUUAGCUAGUUGGUGAGGUAAAGGCUCACCAAGGCGACGAUCUGUAGCGGGUCUGAGAGGAUGAUCCGCGACACUGGGACUGGGAAACGGCCCAGACUCCUACGGGAGGCAGCAGUGGGGAAUUUUGGACAAUGGGGGCAACCCUGAUCCAGCCAUGCCGCGUGAGUGAAGAAGGCCUUCGGGUUGUAAAGCUCUUUCGGCCGGGAAGAAAUCGCACAGGCUAAUACUCUGUGUGGAUGACGGUACCGGCAUAAGAAGCACCGGCUAACUACGUGCCAGCAGCCGCCGUAACAC
rnacentral:rRNA from 1 species